GGCAGGUUCAGUUGGUUAAAGCAUGGUGCUGAUAAUGCCAAGGUUGCAGGUUCAAUCCCCAUAUGGAACA
rnacentral:tRNA from 1 species